UACCAGCACCCCGAGUGGUCGGGACGUUUAUUGGGCCUAAAGCAUCCGUAGCCGGUUCUACAAGUCUUCCGUUAAAUCCAACUGCUUAACAGGUGGGCUGCGGAAGAUACUAUAGAGCUAGGAGGCGGGAGAGGCAAGCGGUACUCGAUGGGUAGGGGUAAAAUCCGUUGAUCCAUUGAAGACCACCAGUGGCGAAGGCGGCUUGCCAGAACGCGCUCGACGGUGAGGGAUGAAAGCUGGGGGAGCAAC
rnacentral:rRNA from 1 species